rnacentral:tRNA from 1 species
GAGUGUUAGCUCAGUUGGGAGAGCAAUUGCCUUACAAGCAAUAGGUCGGGGGUUCGAGCCCCUCACACUCC